rnacentral:rRNA from 1 species
GGUUCCUAGCGAGUCCCAACCUCCCACCCGUGGUUUUUACUCGUACCUUAGUUGCUUCGGCGGGCCCGCCAUUACAUGGCCGCCGGGGGCUCUCAGCCCCGGGCCCGCGCCCGCCGGAGACACCACGAACUCUGUCUGAUCUAGUGAAGUCUGAGUUGAUUGUAUCGCAAUCAGUUAAAACUUUCAACAAUGGAUCUCUUGGUUCCGGCAUCGAUGAAGAACGCAGCGAAAUGCGAUAACUAGUGUGAAUUGCAGAAUUCCGUGAAUCAUCGAGUCUUUGAACGCACAUUGCGCCCCCUGGUAUUCCGGGGGGCAUGCCUGUCCGAGCGUCAUUGCUGCCCAUCAAGCACGGCUUGUGUGUUGGGUCGUCGUCCCCUCUCCGGGGGGGACGGGCCCCAAAGGCAGCGGCGGCACCGCGUCCGAUCCUCGAGCGUAUGGGGCUUUGUCACCCGCUACUGUGAGGCCCGGCCGGCGCUUGCCGAAACCGCCAAAAAUUCAAAAUCUUUUUCCAGGUUGACCUCGGAUCAGGUAGGGAUACCCGCUGAACUUAAGCAUAUCAAUAAGCGGA